UCCGUGAGACCUGGUCUCAUAGA
rnacentral:miRNA from 1 species